CCACUCGUCCUCCUCCCCGCUCCCCUUCCUGGCGGCGCUCCCGACCGCCGCACGACGUCUUCUCUUCCCCACCGUCGAACUCAGGCCGCCGCUCCGCCCCCCGUCCCCGUCGCACCUCCCCUCGAGCCGCCGGCUGGCGCUCUCCCUUCACCGGAGGAGUUGGGUGAGAGGAGCGUGGGCCUUCGCCGUCCUCGUGCACCCCAUGUCGCCGCCUUCUCCUCCGCGCGCCCAGUCGGCCGCCGCUCCUCUGCGCCGCCUUCCUCCUCCUCCUCCUCGAGGCCGUCCAGGAUCAAGCGUGGGCCGCGUGGAUAGCAAGGUGGCAGAGCUGUCCGCGGCAUAGUCGUGGGCGGGAGGAGCAGGAGGUCUAGCCAUCUGCGGCGCCGUCGCUGCCGUGCCUCAAUCCAGGACGAGAAGCUCGUCCUCCUGCUCCACCAUAUGCCCGUGUGCAGCUUGCAGAUGCAGACUGGUGUUCGUGCUGCCUCUCCAUCCCACAAAGUGUUUCCGCCUCAGGGAUUGGUUGGACAUUGCCAAGCCAAUAUGAUUCUAACUUUGCCUACAUCUGUUUAGGAGAAGAAAUAGAGGCGCGUGGACAUGUGCAUGUUUGCUCUGAAUAAAUCAUGUUUGUUGCAGGUAUUGUGCUUUGGAGUUCUGAUGUAUAACUCUUGCACGGUGUGUGAGAACAUUCCCGUGGUUGUCUGCAGUAACAAGGUUUUUAGUAGUAUGCAAUUUCUGCCAAAAGCGACUACAACUUUGAGAAGCCCAUCCUUUACCUUGCAAGCAAACUGGCUAGAGAAAGCAGGAAGAGGAGGAAGCAUAGAGGGAGAAGGGUGAGGAAGAGAAGAGCCUGACCGACACGUUGCGUCUCCCAUAGGCACUGCGAUGUGAGAGUCAUAUAUAGUAAAAAGGACUGAAUCUGCCGAGCACCGGAGCUGUCCCUCAGAUCCAACCACAACAGUUGGUUGAUUUAUCCCGAUCUACUUAGCUGGUUUCAUUGCAGGGUUACUCUUGCCUUCGAUAUUUCGACCUUCUUUGUGCUUCAAUUAUCCAGAUUCCUACAGAAGGACGGAUACCCUUUCUUUUCUAUUGGAUGGGCAACAACAUAACCCCGCUGUGCGUAUGUGGCCGGACUAUAAUAACAACUAUGGUAUGAAAGCGGCAAGGAGGUGCUACCUGAUAUACAUCAAUGACGAUGAAGAUUCGGGCGGCGGCUAGGGUUCGAUUUCUGCCGUGGAUGAUGGAUCUCGGCUCUUCCCCUGGUUGAUUGCGAUGGAUGAGGAUAAGGGUUAGGGUUGGCCCUUGGUCUCAGGUUGCCGCGUCGUCCUCGUCUUGGGCUUGCAAGGGAUUGGAUCCGGUGUGAUUGAUUCUUCCUCUCGCAAGCUUGGGAGGGAUAAAAGAGGUCACUGGUAGAUGAUGGGGGAGCAAGCAAGGACUGAUGGGUGCAUCACUACACUGCUACCCGUUUCUCAACUUUUGCUUUACACGACACUAUUUCGACAGAAUAUUGUACGAAGGGUGGACUAUGAAGGGAAACACUGGUGUUCUAAGAUAGAUGUUCUGUGUUUGAGAUCUUGCCUUGGUAGCUGGAUGCCUUGGUGCAAGACAUUCAAGGUUGUUUGAUGUGUUUGUGCUCGUCGGCGGGACGGUGCAAGGCGCAACUCCGACGCGGUUCCUCGCCGGUUGGACGGCGUUCAGGCGCAACCCCGGCGCGCACUGAGUACUGCCUCGGCUACAGCCUCCCUCGCCAAGAUGAGUGCUUUACGCUUACGGCUCAUGCUAACUGAACUGGUGAUGUUUCUUUCUUCACCUCGAUUGACGCCACAUGUCCCCCCUGUCUCAGGUUGCCACGUCGUCCUCGUCUUCGGCUUGCAAGGGACUGGAUCUGGUGUGAUUGAUUCUUCCUCUCGCAAGGUUAUGAUGGCCGACAAACAGCUCCAAGUUCACAGGUCGCCAGGCUCGCCGAGUGACGCUGGCUCCAACGGUGGUCUGUGAGCACUUGCCCAGGUCAAUUGAUAUUUGUGGUGGCCCUUCUCUGUUUUUACUUGGAAAAAUUUAGUCUGUAUGUGCCUCAGUGAUUUUUAAAAUCAAAGGAAAUGCUCUGUGCAGAAAAAUACAUAUCUAAUCUAGGGGGUAUAUGUAAUAGCGGUAGAUAAAUAAUAAUCUUUAGAUUCAGGCAGUAUACUACAAUCUGCCUUCUGGAGAGGGGCCUAUGCUUGCUAAGUUCUUUGUACGGUGCCUUCAGGGAGGCUGUGUGGUGCCGGCCGGAUGUACGGCGAGGUCUUCAUAAUGGCAUCAAGUCACCCUUGCCAUAUGGAUCAUAUGUAAGCUCUUCCUGCUAACCUACAGGAGUACAUUUUGAUGCUUCAAGUCUGAACCUAUGUAACUUGUGAACUAAUGCCUCCCUGAGUGUGUGUGUGUGUGUGUGCACGCGCUAUGUUAAAUCAAACUUCUUCAGACUACUGUGAAGUAAUGCCACUUGUCAUAUUGACCAAAUUUCAUUGCUUGAUGGCCAUUUAGAGAGGCCAUUUAGAGUUGUCAAAAAUCUAGGACUGUGAAGUCUAUUUACACUGUCAAAAAUCUCGGACUGUUUUCAGAGUUGCUACAACAAUGGAAUUUUCAGUUUGACAAAACAGUUUAAACUGAAAAUCUGGGACUUCACAUUUGCUACAACAGAGUUGUCAAAAAUUCAGUUUACACUGUUAGUUUGACAAAAACUGUCCAAACUGAAAAUUCAGUUAUAAUGGUGUAGGCAUUGUUAAUCUUUGGGGAUAAUUGUAGAUGUUGUGAAGUG